AGAGCGUUGGGCCAGUAACCAGCAGGUAGCCUAGUGGUUAGAGCGUUGGGCCAGUAACCAGCAGGUAGCCUAGUGGUUAGAGCGUUGGGCCAGUAACCAGCAGGUAGCCUAGUGGUUAGAGCGUUGGGCCAGUAACCAGCAGGUAGCCUAGUGGUUAGAGCGUUGGGCCAGUAACCAGCAGGUAGCCUAGUGGUUAGAGCGUUGGGCCAGUAACCAGCAGGUAGCCUAGUGGUUAGAGCGUUG